UACGAGGGGGGCAAGCGUUGUUCGGAAUUAUUGGGCGUAAAGGGCGCGUAGGCGGUGCGGUAAGUCACCUGUGAAAACUCUGGGCUCAACUCAGAGCCUGCAGGCGAAACUGCCGUGCUUGAGUGUGGGAGAGGUGCGUGGAAUUCCCGGUGUAGCGGUGAAAUGCGUAGAUAUCGAGAGGAACACCUGCGGCGAAGGCGGGUUGCUGGGCUGAUACUGACGCUGAUGCGCGAAAGCCAGGGGAGCGAACGGG
rnacentral:rRNA from 1 species